UUUUUGAAUAUAUGAAAUGAAGCGAACUAAUAAAGCUGGAACCAACAACUCUGAAAUCAUUAAAGUCAGAAACAAAGUUCACCAAUAUUCCAUGUCUUCCAAAUUUCCCAAUCUCUUCAGAAAUAUCAGUAUUGACUUCAAUUAAAGCUACAAAUAUGUCUUAAAGAUGCAAUCAUCUUAAUCACAGAAAAUACAAAUAUACACCAAGAUACACAUAUUUGACCACAUAAUCAUCGUGAUUUUUAGUCCAACGACUCACUUACCCAAGUUAAAACUAAAAGGUGUAACAGUAGGACAAAAAUUAAUUGUAGUAUUGAUAUUUUGUCGACAAACACCAAAAAAAUUCAACAGUAUUAACAGUACAAAAGUGGGAAGACAUGACACAUCAACUUGUGCUACCUAUUCAACAAACUCAUACAUUAUUGGCUGCUGUAUUAGUUUUGCAUACAAAAUGUGUGUUUGAGAGAUGCAGUUGCCAGGGAACA